GACGAACGCUGGCGGCGUGCUUAACACAUGCAAGUCGAGCGGUAAGGCCCUUUCGGGGGUACACGAGCGGCGAACGGGUGAGUAACACGUGGGUGACCUGCCCUUAGCUCUGGGAUAAGCCUGGGAAACUGGGUCUAAUACCGGAUAUGACUCCAUGACGCAUGCUGUGGGGUGGAAAGCCUUGUGCGGCUAGGGAUGGGCCCGCGGCCUAUCAGCUUGUUGGUGGGGUGAUGGCCUACCAAGGCGACGACGGGUAGCCGGCCUGAGAGGGCGACCGGCCACACUGGGACUGAGACACGGCCCAGACUCCUACGGGAGGCAGCAGUGGGGAAUCUUGCGCAAUGGGCGAAAGCCUGACGCAGCGACGCCGCGUGGGGA
rnacentral:rRNA from 1 species